rnacentral:rRNA from 1 species
AGCGAACAGAUAAGGAGCUUGCUCCUUUGACGUUAGCGGCGGACGGGUGAGUAACACGUGGGUAACCUACCUAUAAGACUGGAAUAACUCCGGGAAACCGGGGCUAAUGCCGGAUAACAUUUAGAACCGCAUGGUUCUAAAGUGAAAGAUGGUUUUGCUAUCACUUAUAGAUGGACCCGCGCCGUAUUAGCUAGUUGGUAAGGUAACGGCUUACCAAGGCAACGAUACGUAGCCGACCUGAGAGGGUGAUCGGCCACACUGGAACUGAGACACGGUCCAGACUCCUACGGGAGGCAGCAGUAGGGAAUCUUCCGCAAUGGGCGAAAGCCUGACGGAGCAACGCCGCGUGAGUGAUGAAGGUCUUCGGAUCGUAAAACUCUGUUAUUAGGGAAGAACAAAUGUGUAAGUAACUGUGCACGUCUUGACGGUACCUAAUCAGAAAGCCACGGCUAACUACGUGCCAGCAGCCGCGGUAAUACGUAGGUGGCAAGCGUUAUCCGGAAUUAUUGGGCGUAAAGCGCGCGUAGGCGGUUUCUUAAGUCUGAUGUGAAAGCCCACGGCUCAACCGUGGAGGGUCAUUGGAAACUGGGAAACUUGAGUGCAGAAGCCGAAAGUGGAAUUCCAUGUGUACGGUGAAAUGCGCAGAGAUAUGGAGGAACACCAGUGGCGAAGGCGACUUUCUGGUCUGUAACUGACGCUGAUGUGCGAAAGCGUGGGGAUCAAACAGGAUUAGAUACCCUGGUAGUCCACGCCGUAAACGAUGAGUCGUAAGUGUUAGGGGGUUUCCGCCCCUUAGUGCUGCAGCUAACGCAUUAAGCACUCCGC